GCUAUACAUGCAGUCGAACGAGUUCUGAUUAUUGAAAGGUGCUUGCAUCUUGAUUUAAUUUUGAACGAGUGGCGGACGGGUGAGUAACACGUGGGUAACCUGCCCUUAAGUGGGGGAUAACAUUUGGAAACAGAUGCUAAUACCGCAUAAAUCCAAGAACCGCAUGGUUCUUGGCUGAAAGAUGGCGUAAGCUAUCGCUUUUGGAUGGACCCGCGGCGUAUUAGCUAGUUGGUGAGGUAACGGCUCACCAAGGCAAUGAUACGUAGCCGAACUGAGAGGUUGAUCGGCCACAUUGGGACUGAGACACGGCCCAAACUCCUACGGGAGGCAGCAGUAGGGAAUCUUCCACAAUGGACGCAAGUCUGAUGGAGCAACGCCGCGUGAGUGAAGAAGGCUUUCGGGUCGUAAAACUCUGUUGUUGGAGAAGAAUGGUCGGCAGAGUAACUGUUGUCGGCGUGACGGUAUCCAACCAGAAAGCCACGGCUAACUACGUGCCAGCAGCCGCGGUAAUACGUAGGUGGCAAGCGUUAUCCGGAUUUAUUGGGCGUAAAGCGAGCGCAGGCGGUUUUUUAAGUCUGAUGUGAAAGCCCUCGGCUUAACCGAGGAAGUGCAUCGGAAACUGGGAAACUUGAGUGCAGAAGAGGACAGUGGAACUCCAUGUGUAGCGGUGAAAUGCGUAGAUAUAUGGAAGAACACCAGUGGCGAAGGCGGCUGUCUGGUCUGUAACUGACGCUGAGGCUCGAAAGCAUGGGUAGCGAACAGGAUUAGAUACCCUGGUAGUCCAUGCCGUAAACGAUGAAUGCUAGGUGUUGGAGGGUUUCCGCCCUUCAGUGCCGCAGCUAACGCAUUAAGCAUUCCGCCUGGGGAGUACGACCGCAAGGUUGAAACUCAAAGGAAUUGACGGGGGCCCGCACAAGCGGUGGAGCAUGUGGUUUAAUUCGAAGCAACGCGAAGAACCUUACCAGGUCUUGACAUCUUUUGAUCACCUGAGAGAUCAGGUUUCCCCUUCGGGGGCAAAAUGACAGGUGGUGCAUGGUUGUCGUCAGCUCGUGUCGUGAGAUGUUGGGUUAAGUCCCGCAACGAGCGCAACCCUUAUGACUAGUUGCCAGCAUUUAGUUGGGCACUCUAGUAAGACUGCCGGUGACAAACCGGAGGAAGGUGGGGAUGACGUCAAAUCAUCAUGCCCCUUAUGACCUGGGCUACACACGUGCUACAAUGGAUGGUACAACGAGUUGCGAGACCGCGAGGUCAAGCUAAUCUCUUAAAGCCAUUCUCAGUUCGGACUGUAGGCUGCAACUCGCCUACACGAAGUCGGAAUCGCUAGUAAUCGCGGAUCAGCACGCCGCGGUGAAUACGUUCCCGGGCCUUGUACACACCGCCCGUCACACCAUGAGAGUUUGUAACACCCGAAGCCGGUGGCGUAACCCUUUAGGAGCGAGCCGUCUAA
rnacentral:rRNA from 2 species